rnacentral:rRNA from 1 species
AUUGAACGCUGGCGGCAGGCCUAACACAUGCAAGUCGAACGAGUGGCGGACGGGUGAGUAAUGUCUGGGAAACUGCCGGAGGGAGGGGGAUAACUACUGGAAACGGAAGUAAAAACCGCAUACCUUCGGAGGGCCCCAAUGGGGAUUAGCUAGUAGGUGGGGUACCGGCUCACCUAGGCGACGCUCCCUAGCUGGUCUGAGAGGAUGACCAGCCACACUGGAACUGAGACACGGUCCAGACUCCUACGGGAGGCAGCAGUGGGGAAUAUUGCACAAUGGGCGCAAGCCUGAUGCAGCCAUGCCGCGUGUAUGAAGAAGGCCUUCGGGUUGUAAAGUACUUUCAGCGGGGAGGCGUUACCCGCAGAAGAAGCACCGGCUAACUCCGUGCCAGCAGCCGCGGUAAUUC